rfam:Gossypium hirsutum cultivar TM-1 chromosome 15, whole genome shotgun sequence
UAUUAAAAAUUUUAUCUAUUUCUACUAUUAAAAAUUGAUUUAAUUAAUAGAAUAACCAACCAAUACUUGUUUUGAUGUACAAAAACUAAAUUUUAACAGUAAAAAUGGAUAAACUUUUUAACA